rnacentral:rRNA from 1 species
GGGGAAUAUUGCGCAAUGGGGGAAACCCUGACGCAGCAACGCCGCGUGCGGGAUGAAGGCCUUCGGGUUGUAAACCGCUUUCAGCAGGGACGAAGGGUUUCUGACGGUACCUGCAGAAGAAGCACCGGCUAACUACGUGCCAGCAGCCGCGGUGAUACGUAGGGUGCGAGCGUUGUCCGGAAUUAUUGGGCGUAAAGAGCUUGUAGGCGGAUCGUUAAGUCAGGGGUGAAAUCCUGGGGCUCAACCUCAGAACUGCCCUUGAUACUGGCGAUCUCGAGUUCGAGAGAGGUUGGUGGAACUCCGAGUGUAGAGGUGAAAUUCGUAGAUAUUCGGAAGAACACCAGUGGCGAAGGCGGCCAACUGGCUCGAUACUGACGCUGAGGUGCGAAAGCGUGGGGAGCAAACA